UGUUCUGUGGCUUAGUUGGUUAAAGCCACAGACUAGCGAUACGGAGUUGUGGGUUCGAAUCCCACCAAAACAA
rnacentral:tRNA from 1 species